UACGGAGGGGGCGAGCGUUAUUCGGAAUUAUUGGGCGUAAAGGGCGCGUAGGCGGCUUGACAAGUCAAAGGUGAAAUCCCUCGGCUCAACUGAGGAACUGCCUUUGAAACUGUCUGGCUUGAGGCCGGGAGGGGGUAGCGGAAUUCCCAGUGUAGCGGUGAAAUGCGUAGAUACUGGGAGGAACACCAGUGGCGAAGGCGGCUACCUGGACCGGCAUUGACGCUGAGGCGCGAAAGCCAGGGGAGCAAAGCGGGG
rnacentral:rRNA from 1 species